rnacentral:misc_RNA from 1 species
CCAAUAGCGUAUAUUAAAGUUGUUGCAGUUAAAAAGCUCGUAGUUGAAUUUCGGGAUCGAAUUGUUGGUCGUGCUUCGGUACGCACUGGCAUUAUUGGUUCCUACCUUCUGAAGAACCGCGAUGUCAUUAAUUUGGUGUCGUGGGGAAUCAGGACUGUUACUUUGAAAAAAUUAGAGUGUUUAAAGCAGGCUUACGCUUGAAUACAUUAGCAUGGAAUAAUGAAAUAGGACGUUUGAUUCUAUUUUGUUGGUUUCUAGGAUCGACGUAAUGAUUAAUAGGGAUAGUUGGGGGCAUUAGUAUUCAAUUGUCAGAGGUGAAAUUCUCGGAUUUAUUGAAGACUAACUACUGCGAAAGCAUUUGCCAAGGAUGUUUUCAUUAAUCAAGAACGAAAGUUAGGGGAUCGAAGACGAUCAGAUACCGUCGUAGUCUUAACCAUAAACUAUGCCGACUAGGGAUCGGAUGAUGUUAAUUUUAUAAUGACUCAUUCGGCGCCUUACG